AUCUAGGACAGGUUCUGCGGGUUCAACUCAUUUAAAGUACGUGUAUUAUAAUUCUGAACUCACUGACUCUAAAUCCUGAAUUCGCUUCUUACUCUAGACCAAUCUAAUUUUCAUUCAAGCUUAAGAAAAAAAAUCUUGCCCUUCCAGUUUUACACAUUUGUGGGUCCUGAAUGCACGUUCGCUUUCUAAUCUAAGGGAAAGGCACUAUGCAUUAUAUAUAUUCCUCUGCAUUAUAAGUUCCUGAAACACUUACACACCUUACAAUAGGUACAGGAAUUGAUCCACCAUAGACUUUUUCCUAUGCACACAUAUUCUUUAUCUAGCAAAGUUUGGAACCAUAUUCCAAGAACUAAUAGGGGAAUAUUUUUUUCCCUGACGGAGAUAGGAGAAUCCACUAUCUAUGAUGUCCUGAAACCUACAAAACCACCUACCUUUCAAAUGGAAGAUUCUGUUGACUGGAGCAUCUAGUACUGGGUAUUAGAUACAUGCAAGUAAGAAAAGGCGAAAAGAUACGUAGGAAAAUGGUUGAGAUGCUUCUCCUAUUGAAAACCCAAACAAAAAGAAAUAAUACAUUUUUCCUUUUGUUUCAGUUUGUUUAGUUGUGGACAUGUGGUACGUGCACUUAGUUGAGAAUGCAUAUUCUAUCAUGUCAGAUUGACUAUAGCAUUGAUAUGCUUUUUCUUGAACCAAGAGUUUAUCAGAAACAGACUCUCUACCUUCUUAGGUAGGGGUAAGGUUUGCAUACACUCACUCACUCUACCCUCUGAAGACCGCACUUAUGGGAUUACACUGGGUAUGUCGCUGUUGUUGUUGUAGAUUGACCAUACCUUAUCUUGGCAAAAGGAGAUAAUCUAAUGUCUUGGAUUUUCUAAACCUCGUGAUGUAUCAAAUCCUCUGCUACUAAUAUUUUGCUUCUUAUUUGUCUGUCAAGCCAUGUCAUGCUUUUCUUUCGGCAUUCUAGAUUUAUACUUACACAUAUUCAUUUCUUGUGUAAGGAAAGAAUCAUCUAAUAUUUUAAGCAUACUGUCCCUUGAAAGUCUUGAAUGAUUUUUUUCAUCAGAAGUGGGUAGGCAGUUUUUUUCACGUAUAGGCACAAGCAUGCCAGCUUUGGAUGGUUAAUGAUUUUAAUGCAACAUCUUGGCAUGUAUCAAGUGAUAUGAAACUUCCUGAAUAUCUUAAGCACUCUUUCCAUUCUACGCUAUUGUACAAUACGUGAGUAUUGAAAAGGGAAGAAGAAAUAAAAUAAAACGAUAUAGUGGAGAGAUGCUUCUUCGCUUUGUCUGAAGGCUAGGAAUCAAAUGAAGAAUACUUUCUUGUUCUCUCCUUCAGUAAAUUUGGUACUUAUUCUGCGUGGAUAGCCCUAAAAUGGAGAAAAGAGGACCUCCAUGUAAAAUUUUAUAUUCUUUUAUUGGUAUGAAAUGGCCACCUCCAAAGCAUUGGGACCCCUUCCUAAAAGAAGAAAUAAAGGAAUGUACUUCCAUACUUGUUUGAUGGAAAACAUGACAACUCGCAACUGGCAGAUCCCAAUUUACCUUUCACUUGACUUAAGUCGUAACUGGUUUUAGAAGUACCCUUGAUGAAUCUAUAUAUCCUGGCCUUAUAAGAUAACUUUUUUACAUUCUUUCGUGCCUGUUUAUGGGUUAAGCCAUACGCAAUAUAAGGAUACAGGUUACUUUGUCUAUAAUUCAUAGUUCUAUUUUCUUCAAUAACCAAACAUGCUAAUUUUGUGAAAUUCUUUUACCCUUCUCUUUUAUCUGUUAAGUUUUUCUAGGGAUAAUUAGGGAACUCACACUAAAGCUGCUUUGAAAGGCUUAGCGCAUUUUGCAUCUCUGCCUCGUUUACUUUGUUUUAAAAGUGUAUAUCUUGCUUUAUUAUGUUUGCUGAUAGGAAUAAUUUAGGGACUAAUAUAAUGUUUAAAAAAGAGUAUGGCGUGCGUAGAGAGAGAGAGAGAGUCUUGAUACCGUAUGCAGCUGUCUAGUAUAAAUUGAACUGUGCAGCAUUUCAAUCUACUGUAUAGAUAUAGAUGAUUACAUUGGAUAAUUUUUUCAAUGGAGAAUCUUGUUUCUGUUUUUGUGAUCUUUUUUCAAUCAAGGAAUCGAUCCUCGAGAUCACUUAAACUUUGAAAAUUAUCUUGGAUCAGUCCUUCUAAUUUUAAUUUAAUGGCUAUUAUAUGUUAGUUGAAAAGCAUGCCACACCAUUCAUUUCAUGUUUUGGCUAAUGGAUUAAAUCCUGGAUAUCAAUACAGCGUAUUAAAAUAAGAAAGAAUAUUAUCAACUGAUGAACCGCCAAUGCAGAAUAAAUUCGAAUGCUACACAAUGGUGCCUAGGCUUACCCAUAGCUAUUGAUAAUACACGUUAAAAUCUGCAGUUGUAAACCAAAAUAAAGUUAUUGCAUUGCAUAAUUAAGAAAUCCAGGCAUCCAAAGGGAAGAAAAGAAAUCGACAUUAUUGUUGGUUAGUCUUAUGUCAUGUAUGUUUAAUUAGGUACAAUUUGAUAGUAAAUAAGUGAAAACUCCUCGUCUUUGAAAAUGAUAUGCAUAUUUGUUUCCGGUUGAACUUUUGCAGAAAAUAUAAAAGAAUCAGUUGAUUCUGAUAUGAUAGAAUAUUUUAUGGAGUUUGGAGGAAAUACAUUUUGUAUGCAGUUUAAAGGAAUCUAUAACAACCUUCACUUAAAGUGGCGAAAGAAUCUCUACUAUUUUGCUAGAAUGAUAGUUAUGAUAUGAGCAGCUGCUAGUUAUGAUGAUAAAUAACUUAUGUUAUGCUUAUGGUUUGCUUCUUAUCAUUGAUCAUUGAUAAAUAUUAAGAGUUUCCAAAGUCUUGAUGUUAACUCGUUGGAUAUAACCAGACUAGUCUGCGCGAUGAAAGUGGUACUUAGUAAUAUAGUUUUCUUGGGACUUGUACUCACUACCUCUCAUCAGCAUAUGUACUAAGCGACUCUGUCCAUAAAGGCUUAGACAUAUUGAAAUAUAUUAUCUAGAGUCUCUUUUCUUUAAUAUGUUUCUAUGUAUAUAUGCAGAAACUUGUGUAGAAGAAUUCUUUCUUUAAGUACUCUACUCUCAAUUUUUCAAGGGACCACCUCAGCUUCUCCAAAGGCAAGAAUGAACAGAGAGGACUGCAAAUUGGAAGCUCUUCUCUUCUCGAGGGGCAGGGGCAGCGGCAGAGGCAGGAUUUGAAAAAUGCUAAAAAGUCACAUAUAGGCAUCAAAUCCAUGAACCAUUUUCUGAGCUCCCUUUGUAAGUUGUCUCUCCACUAGAAGCUUCCCUUGUGUUAAUGAGGUUACAACAAUAACAUAUCCAAUGUAAUCCCACAAAGUGGGGUCUAGGGUGUGUAGGUGUAGGCAGUGGCGGAGCGACAUGUAUUCAAGGAAAAUUACAUUGUGUAGUUAGAUAAAAGAUACAUACUA